UACGUAGGGGGCAAGCGUUGUCCGGAAUCAUUGGGCGUAAAGAGCGUGUAGGCGGCCCGAUAAGUCCGCUGUGAAAGUCCAGGGCUCAACCCUGGGAUGCCGGUGGAUACUGUCGGGCUCGAGUCCGGAAGAGGAGUGUGGAAUUCCUGGUGUAGCGGUGAAAUGCGCAGAUAUCAGGAGGAACACCGGUGGCGAAGGCGGGUCUCUGGGCCGAUACUGACGCUGGAGGAGCGAAAGCGUGGGGAGCGAACAGG
rnacentral:rRNA from 1 species